AACAAACGCUGGCGGCGUGCCUAACACAUGCAAGUCGUACGAGAAAGGGUCCUUCGGGGCCUGAGUAAAGUGGCGCACGGGUGAGUAACGCGUGGAUAAUCUGCCCUUCAGUUGGGAAUAACUCAUCGAAAGGUGGGCUACUACCGAAUAAUGCUGUGAGACCUCGGUUGAUCAGCCAAAGAGAGCCUCUGAUUGCAAGCCUCUGCUGCAGUAUGAGUCCGCGUACCAUUAGCUAGUUGGUAUGGUAAGGGCCUACCAAGGCGACGAUGGUUAGCUGGUCUGAGAGGAUGAUCAGCCGCAGUGGAACUGAGACACGGUCCAGACUCCUACGGGAGGCAGCAGUGAGGAAUCUUGCGCAAUGGGGGCAACCCUGACGCAGCAACGCCGCGUGAGUGAGGAAGGUCUUCGGAUCGUAAAGCUCUGUCGGAUGGAAAGAACCGCAUAGGGGUAAACAGCCCCUGUGUCUGACGGUACCAUCAAAGGAAGCACCGGCUAACUCCGUGCCAGCCGCCGCCGUAAAAC
rnacentral:rRNA from 1 species